AUUGAACGCUGGCGGCAGGCCUAACACAUGCAAGUCGAGCGGAUGAAGGGAGCUUGCUCCUGGAUUCAGCGGCGGACGGGUGAGUAAUGCCUAGGAAUCUGCCUGGUAGUGGGGGAUAACGUCCGGAAACGGGCGCUAAUACCGCAUACGUCCUGCGGGAGAAAGUGGGGGAUCUUCGGACCUCACGCUAUCAGAUGAGCCUAGGUCGGAUUAGCUAGUUGGUGGGGUAAAGGCCUACCAAGGCGACGAUCCGUAACUGGUCUGAGAGGAUGAUCAGUCACACUGGAACUGAGACACGGUCCAGACUACUACGGGAGGCAGCAGUGGGGAAUAUUGGACAAUGGGCGAAAGCCUGAUCCAGCCAUGCCGCGUGUGUGAAGAAGGUCUUCGGAUUGUAAAGCACUUUAAGUUGGGAGGAAGGGCAGUAAGUUAAUACCUUGCUGGUUUGACGGUACCAACAGAAUAAGCACCGGCUAACUUCGUG
rnacentral:rRNA from 1 species